rnacentral:rRNA from 1 species
AUUGAACGCUGGCGGCAGGCCUAACACAUGCAAGUCGAGCGGAUGAAGUGAGCUUGCUCCUGGAUUCAGCGGCGGACGGGUGAGUAAUGCCUAGGAAUCUGCCUGGUAUUGGGGGAUAACGUCCGGUAACGGGCGCUAAUACCGCAUACGUCCUGAGGGAGAAAGUGGGGGAUCUUCGGACCUCACGCUAUCAGAUUAGCCUAGGUCGGAUUAGCUAGUUGGUGGGGUAAAGGCCUACCAAGGCGACGAUCCGUAACUGGUCUGAGAGGAUGAUCAGUCACACUGGAACUGAGACACGGUCAAGACUCCAACGGGAGGAAGAAGAGGGGAAUAUUGGACAAUGGGCGAAAGCCUGAUCAAGCCAUGCCGCGUGUGUGAAGAAGGUCUUCGGAUUGUAAAGCACUUUAAGUUGGGAGGAAGGGCAGUAAGUUAAUACCUUGAUGUUUUGACGUUACCAACAGAAUAAGCACCGGCUAACUACGUG